GCUCCGCAGCGGGAGAGACCGCAGCGGUGAGAGGCCCGCGUACCGCAAAAUGAUAAAAAAUAAAAAAAAUAAAAAGUAAAUAAAAAUAGGUUUACUUGGCAGGGAGACCUAGGCAGGGGUUCUGUAGACCAGUAUUCUCUACCACCCUGUCUGGAUUCAAAUUAGGUUGGAGAACUGUUUCCAAAUUAUGUAGGCCAAUAAUUCUAGGCUCAGUAUCCUUCUAGAAAGAUUUCUCUUAGCAUAAAGUUGUCGAAUGCAUAUUUAUCACAUUUUCAUAACUUAAUAUCUGAACAGGCUUUUAAUGAAAAACAGAAUCAAACCCAAAAGUAAUCAGAUAUUUAAAAAUAGAUGAUAUGAGUACACAAUUGAAGAACUACUCCGAUCACAGGUCGUGUGUGACAAAGGCCUGGGUCUCAAUUGUCUCUAACCAAGCAUGAAACACCAGCUUGAUGUGGUUUCACUGGAAAUGCUUACGGGAUUUCCACCCCCCCCCCCCCGUUAGCCACUGAUUUACAGAGGGAAGAGGUUGCUGGCAUUCUUUAAACAAGACCCCUGGCAAACUGUCUCCAGAGCCUCACGGCUGAAGAUCUAAAGGUCAUCACUCCACCGUUCCUCAGAGCUCUUCCGUGCUUUUUCUCCGCUCUUCCUGAUUCCUGUUGUUCAGUCAUUAACUCGCCGAUGGAGAGCGUCACACUCUCUCUGGACCACAGGCCACGAGGAGGAUGGAAAGGCAAGGAACUCCUGCGUCUCACCCGCAUCUUCGUUUCCCUCAAGGCUUUUCCGUGUUUGGACCUUCACUCACAGAAUGAGCCAUGGUAAUUGUCUUGGAAGCUGAGUUUGGGGGGGUCAAUGGUGAGGAAAGAGCACCCCAGCCUGUUUGCAGAAGGACACACACAGUUAUUGCUCAGUAGGACUUGGUGAUUCACUGGUGUCUAAUGUUUACAGAAUUCACCUCAGAUAUAACAAUGAUGUCAACAAAAAUGACUCCAGAGAAUGCCGUUUUCUUUCUGAUCCCAGCUAAUUGGUCCCUGCUGCCAACGCUGACAGAACAUCUGGCCUUCACUCAGCAAUAAAAUGGCAUUUUCUUUCCCCAAAUGUCCCUGGAUGGGGAACUUGUUUGAAGUCCAUUUCAAAGGACCUCAGUACUCACUGUAAGAUAAAAGGAAACAGAGCCUUUCAGGUGUGGAUCAAGCAGUCUGCAUUUACAGUCAGUCCUGUGGAAACAGAGAUGAACAAAAUCUUGAUCAUGGUUUCUAAACACAGCUCAUUUUAUUUAUGAAUUUGGGAUUGUUACAGAGAAGCUGACUUUCUCAUCUGGUCGGGAAUCACCUGGGCGAUCCAUUUCACAAUGCAACGCAGAGCGAGAUGAACCAGAACCUGCUGUCUGGGAUAGGGUCUGCGAGGGUGCAGCUGACUCUGGCAGCCUUGCCCUGAGGCCCCAGGUCACUGCUGAAGGGAGCUGGAUGAAUCUGCAUGAGGAACUCAAGAACUGCCUCCUCAGAUGCCAAAUGAGCAGACCUAGUGGCUUGACCAGAGCAGUCCUGAUGGGGCCCUGUGGCGACGAAGCUGCUCAAACUAAACAAGCAAACAAAAAAAAAACUCUGGCGAGCAGGGCUCAGCUGUCACGAGGCCACUUUCAGCCAGUCUGUGCUGCCUGGGGAGCACCAAGACCCCCCAGCUGCUGCCCCCAUGGCACGGGGGCUGGAAUGGGACCUGCUUUACAGAGCAGUGGCCUUGGAGAUCCAGGAGGGUGCCUUCUCGGCCAGGCUUAGUGCUCGGGGAGUGGGAUGCCCUUGAAGACUCACUGGGUUUCCCACAAAGGGCAGGGGGGUUGAUUGCAAAAUGCAGGCUUGGGUACGUUGACCUGAAGCAAAUAGAUGGCCAGGUAUUCUCCAGCAAAGAUGAGUUUAUUCAGGAUCAGCAGAGAAUUGCAAUUCGGGGGCUCAACCACGGCAGCCACGUGCAAGUGCCCACACGGCAGAGGAAGGAGACACUUAUAGGCGGGACAAGGGAGGAGGCGGGCUUAGUAAGCAGAGCCGCAGCCUUUCAUUGGCUGAGUCCUGGCGGGAAAGAAUGGGAGUCUUUCUUCUGUUGAGCUGGGCUGUCAGUGCAGGGGUAAGAGCGCCCCCUGCUGGUCUCCCGACUCUGUUUAACAGGUUUCCGUUCAUUAAUGUUUUACAGCAGUCACAGGACAAAAGCCAAAAGGGACCUGAGAUAUAUGCAUUUUCAUUAUUCCUGCGUGGGGAGGGUGGUCAGAACAUUGUCCUUUUUAAACAAAGCAAGUGGUUCCAGCAUAUUCUAGACUCCCAUCCAGCCUGAGGUAGAGAACCUCAGCCCCUCAUCAGGAAGAAGGGCAAGGGUCAAGGGAGGGGCUCCAUCAUCCGCCCCUCUGUCAUUCUGCCGCGUUCCCCUCCCCGACCCCAACUGCCACCAGCACACAUGCUUCCUCUCUCUUCCCAGGGCCAUCCCACCUCCAAGGCAACGUGAGACCUGCACGAGGACCCUGGGGCGCUCUCCUCCUGUGGGCUGUCUGAGCAGCACCACGGCCAGGUCCUGGGGUCAUCUACGGCGUUAUUCCUGGCGAACUUGAUGUUUGCGCAUCGCCUUUAAUAACUUUAUUACCUGAACCACCCAGCGUGCAUGAAAUGGCAACCGUGACGCACUAGCUGGUGCUGUGACUGUUUAUUCAUUCCACAAACUUUUAUUGAGCACCUACUCUAUAGACCAGGAGUUACACUAGGGUCUGGAGACGUCGUGGUAGGGGACACGGUCCCUGGCCUCACGAUACCAGAUAGAUAUUGUGAGAUAAUAGAAAAAAUGUGCACUGGAGUCUGCCACCGGUUCCUGGCACAGGGCUCCGGAGCCCUUGUAAUUUCCUAAGUGAUGAGAACACGAGGAGCAUCUCUUGUUCUAAUAUUUGGUCUUUGAUCCCCGUUCCUGACACAGAGCUCCUGAAACCCUGGUAAUAUCCUGGGUGAUAGGAGUGUCUUUUGUUCUAAUGAGGUGACUCUGGGCGGGCUCCUGGUUGAGGGCUGCUCACUGGAAAGACCCACCUGUGAUUAGAAGCUUGGAAUCUUCAGCCCCACCACCCCACACUCUCUUGAGAAGGGAGAAGAUCUGAAAAAUGGAAUUAAUAAUGGAUCAUGCCCACGUGAGGAAGCCUCCGUACGUAAAAUCCCACUAGCGUGGGGUUCAGAGAGCUUCCAGGCUGCGGAGAGUCCCUGAAGAAUUCCGAGCUGCGGGGUCACGGAAGCAGAGUUAUGCAUCGGGAAAACGGCUCUGCAGCAACGCAGACAGAUGGGAUGCAGAGGUCAGGAGUAUCUGGGCCGCCAUGCUUCGGGUGAAAGGUGGCAGGUGGUGAGCAGGGCUGUGGCCCGGGGUGGAGGGCAUGGAGGGGAAAGCUGGUUAAGAAGAACUCAGGCAGGUCCUGGGGGUUGUUGGGGAGGGGGGAGGGGGACCUAGCAUGAUUUCCAGAUUGCUCACUUGGACCAGCAGAUGGUUGGCCAUGAUAUUCCUCUGAAAUUGUUCUACUUUUUCCUGGAACAAAUGAGGUUAGCAGAGCGUGACUAUAAUCUACUGUCCCUAAGGUCUGGGAAAAACACAGGCAAUAUACAUUUGCACUGAGGUAGAGCACGUAACAUCAGCAGAAUCGUCUCCACUUAAAGCCUCUUUAUUUAAAAAGCCUAACAUGAAUUAAAAAUGCACACAGGUGCCUUUGGGAUGAUCACUCAAUAUCACAGCUUAUAAUUGGUAGGACUUUGCUCUGAACACUUCCCUACUUCAGGUUUAACCAGAAGGAAGUAGGUACGGACGUGAGAAUGAAUAAACCAGUUUCCCUGGAACAUAGUUCCCACGAGGACAGGAGAAGCAGUUCCUUUAGAGCUUAGGUGAGAAACAGUCAAAGGGAAGACUGAGUGCAAGGCUAAAAUUUUUUAAAUUAAUUCUACAAGCAAUAGGAAGACAGUCAAGCUUUCUGAGUAUUGUGUGACAGAGAAAAGAAAUGAUUUAGAAAACAUAAUUACCCGUGACAUUUGGAAUGGCCAGAAUAUGGGAAAGUCUAUUGCAGGGAAAUAAAUUAAGAAACUGUUACGGGCCUGAAUUAAAUUAUACAUAAUCCUUAAUUCCCCAGAUUCCCCUCGAUGACCCCACAAACCAAGUAUCUCAGUUUAAUGUUAACUUUUCAAAAAAAAGAAAAAAGAAAACCUCUCAACAAAGAAAAGGCCAGGACCAGGUAGCCCACUGGUGAAUUCUAACACUGAGGCUUCUCAAAUUCUUCUAAAAAAUUAAAGAGGAGGGAGGACUUCUGAACUCAUACCCUGAUAUCAAAGCAAGACAAAGACAUCACAAGAAAAUAAAACCGCAGGAUAAUAUUCCUUAUGAAUAUUGAUGCAAAAAUCCUCAACAAAAUACUAGCAAAUUGCAUCCAACAAGAUAUUAACAGGAUUAUACAUCAUGACCAAGUGGGAUUUAGUCCAAGAAUGCAAGGGUGGUUCAACAUAAGAAAAUCUGUCACUGUCAUACAUCACAUGAAUAGUAUAAAGAGAAAAAAACCACAUGAUCAUCUUGUGAAAAUGAAAAAAAGAAACCUCGUUUAAAACAUUUAUAGUCAGCUGAUUUUGAUAAGGGUGCCACGUCCAUUCAAUGCGGUAAAGAAUAUUCUCUUCCAUGGAAGAUGCUGGGACAACUGGAUUCCCACUCACAAGGAUGAAGUUCUACCCUUACUUCACACCACAUACAAAAAUAACUCAGAAUUGAUCAACAACCUAAAUACAAGGCUAGAACUAUACAAUUGUUAGAAGAAAACAUAGGAGUAAAUGUUCAUGACCUUGGGUUUGGCAAUGGGCUCUUAGAUAUGACACCAAAAGCUCAAAGCAAAAACAACAAAAAUAAAUAAAAUAAAUAAAUUGGAUUUCAUCAAAAUUAAACAUUUUUAUGUGUCAAAGGACAUUAGCAAGAAAGUAAAAGACAUUGGAAAGCAGGCUUGAAUUAAGGGCCAACCAAGAUGCGUGCAGACACAGGUGUGCUGUAUACGUACUUUGAAUCGCGUUAAUGUGCUUCGAAGGCUACUCCGGCACCCUUACAGGGGGGCAGAGUUCGUUCUAUGGUCGUUGCUGUUGUUUGCUGCUGCCUGCAAAGCUGAACAGAGGAUACAAAGAGGUGCUCAUCUCAGCACGCCUUCAAUUCUCAGCUCCUUGCGAGAUAGACUCCAUUUUUAUACAGUUUGUGGUUUUGAUUUACGGGGUUUUUUUUAAUCUUAUGAAAAAUGAAUAACCUCCUACUUCCCUACACCCACUUUUAGCCCUAUCACUGGGGAUACUUCUCUUUAACUCAUUAUCAUAGUUAAAGGUGGGCUCUGGAGCCAGACUGCUUUGCAUCUUAACUAGACUCUUUGGACCUCAGUUUUCUCAUCUGUAAAAUGGAAAUAACAGUAGGAACUGCAUUAUGGUGCUGUUGGGAUUAAGUCAGUUAAUCCAUGUAAAGAACCUUCCACACUGAUAGAACACAGUAAGUGCUGUGUAAGUGCUAAUGGGCAUUACCCCAUACUAUUCUUAUUUCUAAUAAUUACCCAGAAAUAUUAAGUGCCCUUUUAGCUUGUCCUCGAGUAGCAGGGAGCAGUCAGUUCACAUUCCGUCACCCAAGGUUCAUUACUGAGUCAUAGAUAAAGUAGGAAGAAAAGUCAUAGAACAGAAUUUUGGCUUCAUUAUAUUUGCAAUUCCAGUGGUACAAUCUUGAAAGUACCCUUUCCUUCUAAUUUUUAAGCAAACUUUCACCCAUCAUACAUCACUGUGUACCAUGAGAGCCUAAUACCUCUAAUCAUACGGUUGCCAAAAUGCUCGGACUGGUUUGGGGUGGAGAGAGGGAGUUCAAGCUUUGCUUGGGUCCAAGUAUUACAUGCAAAAGUAAUUUUGAAAAGCAUGUUAAAGUUGCCAGUAUUUGGUUGUCAACUAAAUCUUAGUUAAAAUGUGAGAAGCUUUUGUUCUCAUUUUUUAAAAAUUUAUUUAUUUAUUUCUGGCUGUGUUGGGUCUUCGUUGCUGCG